GAUUGAAUAAACUCUCACUCAUGAUAAGAAACAUUCAGCUAUCAACAUGGAGUCACCUGCCCUUUCAUGGAAGAGAGGUUAAAAAGAAGAGCAGAACUGCUCCCCUUAAGGACUAUGAUUCAAGAAACGGGAUUGAAACCUCGAUGCAGCUCUAUGAUCUACUUGACUUUCAAAGGCCGUGAUGAUUCCUGUUCAAGUCUUGGUAGUACCUGCAUAUAACUGCCCAUUAGCACUGCAGUGCUAAGGAAGCCACUAAGUCACUCCACCAACAGAAUGGAGCUGACACUGCAUGACAUUAUCAGACAAUGCACUGAGGUCCAAAGAAGCAAAGUGCCAUCUUCAAUCCAACAAUCAGACAAGCUGAGGGCAUCACUGCAUGUAUGCUGUCCACUCUAGAGGUCCACAAGACUGUGGACUCUCUAGUUGGAAGUGAAGGCUCUGAAGACUGAGAUCCUGAUAGCCAUCUUGCAAACAGGAACACCCCCCUUAGCCCCCAAUCCUGAGA